UACGUAGGGGGCAAGCGUUGUCCGGAAUCAUUGGGCGUAAAGCGCGUGUAGGCGGCUAGGUAAGUCUGCUCUGAAAGCCCGGGGCUCAACCCCGGGAGGCGGGUGGAUACUGUCUAGCUCGAGUCCGGAAGAGGAGUGUGGAAUUCCUGGUGUAGCGGUGGAAUGCGUAGAUAUCAGGAAGAACACCAAUGGCGAAGGCAGCUCUCUGGGACGGUACUGACGCUGAGACGCGAAAGCGUGGGGAGCGAACAGG
rnacentral:rRNA from 1 species